rnacentral:tRNA from 1 species
UGGCUCAGUUGGUAGAGCAUGGCGCUUGCAACGCCAGGGUUGUGGGUUCGACUCCCAC